GACGGCUCGGUAACGCGUAGUCAAUCUACCCUAUGGACGGGAAUAACCUCGGGAAACUGAGAAUAAUGCCCGAUAGAACAUUAUGCCUGGAAUGGUUUAUGUUUCAAAUGAUUUAUCGCCAUAGGAUGGGACUGCGGCCUAUCAGUUUGUUGGUGAGGUAAUGGCCCACCAAGACUAUUACAGGUACGGGCUCUGAGAGGAGUAGCCCGGAGAUGGGUACUGAGACACGGACCCAGGCCCUAUGGGGCGCAGCAGGCGAGAAAACUUUGCAAUGUGCGAAAGCACGACAAGGUUAAUCCGAGUGGUUUCUGCUAAAGAAACCUUUUGUCAGUCCUAGAAACACUGAUGAAUAAGGGGUGGGCAAGUUCUGGUGUCAGCCGCCGCGGUAAAACCAGCACCUCAAGUGGUCAGGAUGAUUAUUGGGCCUAAAGCAUCCGUAGCUCGUUUUGUAAGUUUUCGGUUAAAUCCAUGCGCUUAACGUAUGGGCUGCCGGGAAUACUGCAUAACUAGGAAGUGGGAGAGGUAGACGGUACUCGGUAGGAAGGGGUAAAAUCCUUUGAUCUAUUGAUGACCACCUGUGGCGAAGGCGGUCUACCAGAACACGUUCGACGGUGAGGGAUGAAAGCUGGGGGAGCAAACCGGAUUAGAUACCCGGGUAGUCCCAGCUGUAAACUAUGCAAACUCAGUGAUGCGUUGGCUUGUGGCCAAUGCAGCGCUGCAGGGAAGCCGUUAAGUUUGCCGCCUGGAAAGUACGUACGCAAGUAUGAAACUCAAAGGAAUUGGCGGGGGAGCACCACAAGGGGUGAAGCCUGCGGUUCAAUUGGACUCAACGCCGGU
rnacentral:rRNA from 1 species